ACUGAGGUUUGAUGGACGAUAUUAAUUUUAUACUGGGUCAGGUUCGGAAGAAAGCAGCCCCUAAACUUAAAAUCGGGUCGUCAAAACCUCAUUUUU
rnacentral:SRP_RNA from 1 species